AGCAAGCAACGGCAAUGCGGUGGGGUCACGUUCCAGGCAGUGGGAGAUUUGUUCUUUCACUCUUAGCAAUAAAUCUUAAUGCUGCUCACUCUUUCCGUCGGUGCUGCCUUUAUGACCUGUAACACUCACCUCAAAGGUCUGCAGCUUCACUUCUGAAGUCAGCCAGACCGUGAACCCACCAGAAGCAAGAAGGAACAAACUCCGGACUCCCCAUCUUUGAGAACUGUAACACUCACCGCAAGGGUCUACGGCUUCAUUCUUGAAGUCAGUGAGACCAAGAGCCCACCAAUUGCGGACACAUAAUCACCGGGAGGACCCAGACACACGCAGAGGUAAGACCAUUUAAAGAUGGAAAGAAGAUUACUGUCUACAAGACAAGGAAAGAGGCCGUAGAAGAAACCAACCAGGCCAAAACUUUCAUCUCAGACUUCUAGCCUUCAGAACUAGAGCACUGUGAGAAAAUAAUCAUGUUCAUGGUCGGUGGAGUUGCUUGGCGAGCUUUACAGUUUCCAUCUGCUCAACAGAGAUGUUCUUCUGAGCCAUCUGACGAACCGGGGGUGCAGGGAUGUUCCGAGGUCUUUUCCUCUUCCUUGGAUUCUGGCUCAUGGCACAGCUUAAGAUGUCUUAUGGGUACCCAGACAGGAAGCUGAUUCUCUCCUGGCCUUUUCCAGGAAUAUAGCCCAUGUUUGACAUUAUUUUUUGAUGAGCUUCACCGUACCAGGGAGAAGGGAUUGAAAUUUCUGUGCCCCAUUGCUGAAGCAGAUCUGUCCCCCAUAA